CAAUCUUUCUCCAUUUGCAUUUCAUAUUUUUUAUCAAUUAUAUUUGGAGUUUUUUUUCUAGUUUUGUGUGCACUCAAUCUUGUCAAAUCCUAUUUGCAUUAUACAUCGAGGGCGAUGUAAAUUUUUAAGUGUGGGGGAGAGGACAAAAAUUGAGGAGAUAUCAGGGAAAUCAUGAAGACAAGGAGGAUCAUGAAGGGACAAGAACAAAAAUGAGAAGAUGGAUGAUGAUGAAUUAAAGUGAAGGACAAAAGCAAAGAAGAUUUGGUCCAUUUUCAUCAUUAAAGAUCAGGCAAUAAUGGAAUCAAAGAGUGAUAUUUUGAAUGGUGAUUGAUCAUAUGGAUAAACCAAAGCAAAAGUGGAACAAGUGUCUAAAAUCUGAAAUUUCCGCACAAGUUGUCCACUGUUCGGUAUUUUUACCAUAUCUCAGCAUAGGAAUAUCCAAAUUGAGUGAUCUUUGCACCGUUGGAAAGAAGACUUCAAGGGCUACAACUUUACCAGAAAUACAAAAUUCAUAAUUCUGAACGGAGAAUGGAGAAAAACAGCCCGGAAGAUGAAGCUGCGUGCAGUGAUGUCAUUGCUUGCGAAAUUUUCCAUCUUCUUUCUCAUUAUGAUAUGUGAGGUCAUGGCAUAUGUAAUUCCCCAUUUCCAAAUUCAGAUGGAAUGUGAGGUCAUUGCAUAUGUAAUUGUCCAUCUUUGCUCCCUUUUGAUGCCUAUAUAAAGCCUUGUAACUCUCAAACUUCAACACACCAUUCCUCACCAAUUCCUUCUAUCUCCUCUCAUUCUAGUUUUCAUAUCUUAGUUUUAGUGUUGUGUUUUUCUUCAAGCAAGAGUGUAGGAGGAAACUCCAAGAGUUUGGUCUUCAAUCCAUAAGUUUUCUUGUUCCCUUUAUCUCUUUACAAUUUAUUUACCAUGCUUAUGAAUUUAAAUAUUGUUAGUUUGUUGUAUUCCA